rnacentral:rRNA from 1 species
CCUACGGGAGGCAGCAGUGGGGAAUAUUGGGCAAUGGGCGCAAGCCUGACCCAGCCACGCCGCGUGAAGGAAGACGGCUUUCGGGUUUUAAACUUCUUUUCUCAGGGACGAAAAAAGUGACGGUACCUGAGGAAUAAGCCACGGCUAACUACGUGCCAGCGGCCGCGGUAAUACGUAGGUGGCAAGCGUUAUCCGGAUUUACUGGGUGUAAAGGGCGGGUAGGCGGGGAAGCAAGUCAGAUGUGAAAACCACGGGCUCAACCUGUGGCCUGCAGUUGAAACUGUUUUUCUUGAGUACUGGAGAGGUAGACGGAAUGCAUGGUGUAGCGGUGAAAUGCGUAGAUAUCAGGCGGAACACCAGUGGCGAAGGCGGUCUGCUGGACAGCAACUGACGCUGAGGCGCGAAAGUGUGGGGAGCAAACAGGAUUAGAUACCCUGGUAGUC